AGCGACGUGUCUUCUCUCCCUCGC
rnacentral:siRNA from 1 species